UCCCUGGUGGCUCAGAUGGUAAAGAAUCUGCCUGCAAUGCAGGAGACCCGGGUUCAACCCCUGGGUUGGGAA
rnacentral:tRNA from 1 species